rnacentral:rRNA from 1 species
AGUGGGGGAAUUUUUGGACAAUGGGCGCAAGCCUGAUCCAGCCAUGCCGCGUGAGUGAAGAAGGCCUCGGUUGUAAAGACUCUUUCGGUCCGGGGAAGGAAAUACGUGGUCUCUAACAUAGGCCAUGGAUGACGGUACCGGACUAAGAAGCACCGGCUAACUACGUGCCAGCAGCCGCGGUAAUACGUAGGGUGCGAGCGUUAAUCGGAAUUACUGGGCGUAAAGCGUGCGCAGGCGGUUUUUGUAAGACAGAUGUGAAAUCCCCGGGCUUAACCUGGGAACUGCGUUUGUGACUGCAAGGCUAGAGUACGGCAGAGGGGGGUGGAAUUCCUGGUGUAGCAGUGAAAUGCGUAGAGAUCAGGAGGAACACCGAUGGCGAAGGCAGCCCCCUGGGGCCUGUACUGACGCUCAUGCACGAAAGCGUGGGGAGCAAACAGGAUUAGAUACCCUGGUAGUCCACGCCCUAAACGAUGUCGACUAGUCGUUCGGAGCAGCAAUGCACUGAGUGACGCAGCUAACGCGUA